GAUGAACGCUGGCGGCGUGCCUAAUACAUGCAAGUCGAGCGAACGGACGAGAAGCUUGCUUCUCUGAUGUUAGCGGCGGACGGGUGAGUAACACGUGGAUAACCUACCUAUAAGACUGGGAUAACUUCGGGAAACCGGAGCUAAUACCGGAUAAUAUUUUGAACCGCAUGGUUCAAAAGUGAAAGACGGUCUUGCUGUCACUUAUAGGUGGAUCCGCGCUGCAUUAGCUAGUUGGUAAGGUAACGGCUUACCAAGGCAACGAUGCAUAGCCGACCUGAGAGGGUGAUCGGCCACACUGGAACUGAGACACGGUCCAGACUCCUACGGGAGGCAACAGUAGGGAAUCUUCCGCAAUGGGCGAAAGCCUGACGGAGCAACGCCGCGUGAGUGAUGAAGGUCUUCGGAUCGUAAAACUCUGUUAUUAGGGAAGAACAUAUGUGUAAGUAACUGUGCACAUCUUGACGGUACCUAAUCAGAAAGCCACGGCUAACUACGUGCCAGCAGCCGCGGUAAUACGUAGGUGGNCAGCGUUAUCCGGAAUUAUUGGGCGUNAAGCGCGCGUAGCGGUUUUUUAGUCUGAUGUGAAAGCCCACGGCCCAACCGUGGAGGGUCAUUGGAAACUGGAAAACUUGAGUGCAGAAGAGGAAAGUGGAAUUCCAUGUGUAGCGGUGAAAUGCGCAGAGAUAUGGAGGAACACCAGUGGCGAAGGCGACUUUCUGGUCUGUAACUGACGCUGAUGUGCGAAAGCGUGGGGAUCAAACAGGAUUAGAUACCCUGGUAGUCCACGCCGUAAACGAUGAGUGCUAAGUGUUAGGGGGUUUCCGCCCCUUAGUGCUGCAGCUAACGCAUUAAGCACUCCGCCUGGGGAGUACGACCGCAAGGUUGAAACUCAAAGGAAUUGACGGGGACCCGCACAAGCGGUGGAGCAUGUGGUUUAAUUCGAAGCAACGCGAAGAACCUUACCAAAUCUUGACAUCCUUUGACAACUCUAGAGAUAGAGCCUUCCCCUUCGGGGGACAAAGUGACAGGUGGUGCAUGGUUGUCGUCAGCUCGUGUCGUGAGAUGUUGGGUUAAGUCCCGCAACGAGCGCAACCCUUAAGCUUAGUUGCCAUCAUUAAGUUGGGCACUCUAAGUUGACUGCCGGUGACAAACCGGAGGAAGGUGGGGAUGACGUCAAAUCAUCAUGCCCCUUAUGAUUUGGGCUACACACGUGCUACAAUGGACAAUACAAAGGGCAGCGAAACCGCGAGGUCAAGCAAAUCCCAUAAAGUUGUUCUCAGUUCGGAUUGUAGUCUGCAACUCGACUACAUGAAGCUGGAAUCGCUAGUAAUCGUAGAUCAGCAUGCUACGGUGAAUACGUUCCCGGGUCU
rnacentral:rRNA from 1 species